rnacentral:RNase_P_RNA from 1 species
CCAGUCGGCCGGACGGCCGCCGCCCUCGCGGGCGGAGGAAAGUCCGGGCUCCAUGGAAACACGGUGCCGGAUAACGUCCGGCGGGGGCGACCCCAGGGAAAGUGCCACAGAAAGCAAACCGCCUCGCCCCGGCUUCGGCCGCGGCGCGGCAAGGGUGAAAGGGUGCGGUAAGAGCGCACCGCGCAACCGGCAACGGGGGCGGCACGGCAAACCCCACCGGGAGCAAAACCGAAUAGGGGCGACGGCGGCGGGCAACCGCCGCGGGGGCGUUUCCAGCCCUUGUCGCCCGGGUUGGUUGCUCGAGGCGGCCGGCGACGGCCGUCCCAGAGGAAUGGCCGUCACGCGCGGGGCGACCCGCGCCAUACAGAACCCGGCUUACAGGCCGGCUGGCGCU